GCGGUUCUCACAGCCCGCCGCCGCCGCCGCCUCGGGGACCUUUGCGGGGAGGCCUCAGGGCACCUUCCUCCUCUCUCUCAGGCACGUCCUCGACCUCAGUUGCCACGUGCACAUGCUGGUGCCUUCCAGGUCGGUCUUUCUCCACCAGACUCCACCUGGAACUUUCUUCCUUUUCGUCCUGUGCUGGCCUAACCCCUGCUCGGCCUCGGCCCUCAGCUGCCGGCUCUAACAAAGCCUCUGUCUUUCCCAGACCCCUGUGACCAGGCUGGAGUAUAGUGGCAUGAUCAUAGAUCACUGCAGCCUCAAACUCCUGGGCUCAAGCGAUCCUCCCACCUCAGCCUCCAUAUAGCUGGUGGGGACCAAGUUUCUAACACAUGAAUGUUGGGAGACACAUUCAGACCAUCGCAGUGGCCUUAUAAAAAGAGACACAAGAGCUUGCUCUCUGCCAUGUGAGAAUACCACAAGAAGACUGUCCUCAGCAAAUCAGAAAGCGGGUGGACCCUCAUCAGACACCAGAUGUGCCUGCACCUUGAUCUUGGACUUGCCAGCCUUCAGAACAGUAAGAAAGAAAUGUGUGUUGUUUAAGCCACCCAGUCUAUGGUAACUUGCUAUAGCAGCCCACUAGGAGACCCCAAGAUAUUUAAAAACUCAUCAGCACCUGCUUUCUGCAUCUGGACCCUGAUCUUCUGGUGGGUUUACCAGUUACUUGUAGAGUGUCCCUGUGAUAGUUUUAGGUGUCAACUUGACAGGAUUGAGGGAUGCCUAGAUGGCUGGGGAAGCACUGUUUCUGAGAAGGACCAUGUUUUUGGAGGAGACUGUUUUAUGAGUGAAUUUCAGGGGACACAUUCAGAUCAUGGCAGUGGCAUUAUAAAGAGAGACACAAAAGCUUGCUCUCUCUCUCUGCCAUGUAAGACUACCACACAAAGACUGCCAUCUGCAAACCAGAAGCAGGUGGGCUUUCCUCAGACACCAGAUCUGCCUGCACCUUGAUCUUGGACUUGCCAGCCUUCAGAACUCUAAGAAAGAAAUGGUAGCAUGGCUUGGUCUAAGUUGGAAGGCCUGAGAAACAAGCACAUGGUGGAACUGAGUUCAAGGAUAAAGACUUGAGAAUACCUGCUCAGUGGACUGAGUAGGGAAGAUCAACCCUCAAUGUAGGCAGGCACUAUCCAAUCACCUGAGGGCCCAGAUGGAACAAAAAGGUGGAAGAAGGGUGAAUUCUCUCUUCCAGAGCUGUGACACCCUUCUCAUGCCCUUGUACCACACAACUCUAGGUCCUUUGGCCUUUGGACUCUGACACUUGCACCAGUGGCCCUCUGGGGCUCUCAAGCCUUUAGCCUUGAACUUAGUUACACCAUGUGCCUCCUUGUUUCUCAGGCCUUCCAACUUGGAUCAGGCCAUGCCACCGGCUUCUCUGAUUCUCCAGCUUGCAGAUGGUAUAUUGUGACCCUGGCAUUUAAUAACUAUGACUUUGGUCUUAAGCAAUUUUCUUCCUCUGUGGAUUGAUAUUUACAUAUCAAUGUGGAUAAUAAUUUCUUACCACGGUAACUGUUGUGAGGUAAAAAUGAGUUAACAUAAGUAAAACCGAGCACAUGCAAACCAUCCGAAAUGGUUAAUACUUACUAUUUGUACUUGAAGAAAUAAAUGUUUUUGACAAUAAACUUCUUGUGCAGUUUUCCUCAGCCA
ensembl:lncRNA LINC00847 long intergenic non-protein coding RNA 847